rnacentral:tRNA from 1 species
CUCCGUAGCUCAGUUGGAUAGAGCGGCGGUUUCCUAAACCGCAGGUCGCAGGUUCGAAUCCUGCNNAUA